GAGCCUGAUGGAGCACGCCGCGUGUGUGAUGAAGGCUUUCGGGUCGUAAAGCACUGUUGUAUGGGAAGAACGGGUUUAAGAGGAAAUGCUUAGACAGUGACGGUACCAUACCAGAAAGGGACGGCUAAAUACGUGCCAGCAGCCGCGGUAAUACGUAUGUCCCGAGCGUUAUCCGGAUUUAUUGGGCGUAAAGCGAGCGCAGACGGUUGCUUAAGUCUGAAGUGAAAGCCCACAGCUCAACUGUGGAAUGGCUUUGGAAACUGGGCAACUUGAGUGCAGUAGAGGUAAGUGGAACUCCAUGUGUAGCGGUGGAAUGCGUAGAUAUAUGGAAGAACACCAGUGGCGAAGGCGGCUUACUGGACUGCAACUGACGUUGAGGCUCGAAAGUGUGGGUAGCAAACAGGAUUAGAUACCCUGGUAGUCCACACCGUAAACGAUGGAUACUAGUUGUUAGAGGGUUUCCGCCCUUUAGUGACGAAGCAAACGCAUUAAGUAUCCCGCCUGGGGAGUACGACCGCAAGGUUGAAACUCAAAGGAAUUGACGGGGACCCGCACAAGCGGUGGAGCAUGUGGUUUAAUUCGAAGCAACGCGAAGAACCUUACCAGGUCUUGACAUCCUUUGAAGGUACUAGAGAUAGUACUGUCUUCUUCGGAAGCAAAGUGACAGGUGGUGCAUGGCCGUCGUCAGCUCGUGUCGUGAGAUGUUGGGUUAAGUCCCGCAACGAGCGCAACCCUUAUGUUUAGUUGCCAGCAUUCAGUUGGGCACUCUAGACAGACUGCCGGUGACAAACCGGAGGAAGGCGGGGACGACGUCAGGUCAUCAUGCCCCUUAUGACCUGGGCUACACACGUGCUACAAUGGCGUAUACAACGAGCAGCAAACCUGUGAAGGUAAGCGAAUCUCUUAAAGUACGUCUCAGUUCGGAUUGUAGUCUGCAACUCGACUACUUGAAGUCGGAAUCGCUAGUAAUCCCGGAUCAG
rnacentral:rRNA from 1 species